CAGAACAUGGCCAAGUUAGAAAAGCAUCUCAAUUACACCGAGAAGUCGCCCGUGCAAAUCGGACUGUCCUGA
rnacentral:tRNA from 2 species